AGUCAUUCGGCGCUUAUCUGGGCCGCAAACAACACGAAUUCGUUGGCCUAAUCAUAAUGAAAGUCUUGUUUUGACAGCAGCAGCAGAAGCAGCGGGCGUAUAGCCACUAUCACCGGAUUUCCAAAAAUAGUUCUUCAACUUUUACCGCAAUCUGCAAUGCAAACGAUGACGUCCGCGUUGGUUGGAAAAUUUCCAGCUCAUCGCUGAAAAAGGGAUUCCUCCACAGAUCGUGGGCUUAUCAUGCAUGCUAAUUAAUCCUAUGACGAACUCGGGAAAAAAAAAACAAUAAAACCUAAUAGAAAACGCGAGGAGCUUGAUAAUCAUUGUACUUGUGCACCUGUCGCCGUCAUCCAGUUAUCAUUUAAUAAUCAAGAUGAGUGCCAGAAAAACAGAGAGAGCUGCUUAAAUGAUUAUCACAAGUUUGCGGGUACAUACUU
ensembl:ncRNA lncRNA:CR45596 long non-coding RNA:CR45596